UACGGAGGGUGCGAGCGUUGUCCGGAAUCACUGGGCGUAAAGGGCGCGUAGGUGGCCUGUGGAAGUCUGCGGUGAAAGCCCGGCGCUCAACGCCGGGUCGGCCGUGGAUACUCUCGGGCUCGAGCUUACUAGAGGCAGAUGGAAUCCGGGUGUAGCGGUGGAAUGCGUAGAGAUCCGGAAGAACACCGGUGGCGAAGGCGGUCUGCUGGGGUAAUGCUGACACUGAUGCGCGACAGCGUGGGGAGCAACAGG
rnacentral:rRNA from 1 species